rnacentral:rRNA from 1 species
CAACAGGGAUUGCCCUAGUAACGGCGAGUGAAGCGGCAACAGCUCAAUUUGAAAUCUGGCUCUUUCAGAGUCCGAGUUGUAAUUUGCAGAGGGCGCUUUGGCUUUGGCAGCGGUCCAAGUUCCUUGGAACAGGACGUCACAGAGGGUGAGAAUCCCGUACGUGGUCGCUAGCUAUUGCCGUGUAAAGCCCCUUCGACGAGUCGAGUUGUUUGGGAAUGCAGCUCUAAAUGGGAGGUAAAUUUCUUCUAAAGCUAAAUAUUGGCCAGAGACCGAUAGCGCACAAGUAGAGUGAUCGAAAGAUGAAAAGCACUUUGGAAAGAGAGUCAAACAGCACGUGAAAUUGUUGAAAGGGAAGCGCUUGCAGCCAGACUUGCUUGCAGUUGCUCAUCCGGGCUUUUGCCCGGUGCACUCUUCUGUAGGCAGGCCAGCAUCAGUUUGGGCGGUGGGAUAAAGGUCUCUGUCACGUACCUUCCUUCGGGUUGGCCUUAUAGGGGAGACGCCAUACCACCAGCCUGGACUGAGGUCCGCGCAUCUGCUAGGAUGCUGGCGUAAUGGCUGUAAGCGGCCCGUCUUGAAACACGGACCAAGGAGUCUAACAUCUAUGCGAGUGUUUGGGUGUCAAGCCCGAACGCGUAAUGAAAGUGAACGGAGGUGGGAACCCGCAAGGGUGCACCAUCGACCGAUCCUGAAGUUUACGGAAGGAUUUGAGUAAGAGCAUGGCUGUUGGGACCCGAAAGAUGGUGAACUAUGCUUGAAUAGGGUGAAGCCAGAGGAAACUCUGGUGGAGGCUCGCAGCGGUUCUGACGUGCAAAUCGAUCGUCAAAUUUGGGCAUAGGGGCGAAAGACUAAUCGA